CACAAAGUGCCAGGAAAGAAUUAUUCAAGCUCUUCCCUGACGGCCUCCUUCUGGCAAGGGUACUGUACUAAAGUAAGUAAAGUGGGGGAUAGUGAGGGGAUAAAUUUUCUUACGGGACUCUGCCAAAUCCCAAUGGCCCACCAGGGACAUAUUGGAACACGGGCCUCGACUGUUCUACCAAAAACAUAGCCCUCGGCUAAUAUGAAAAUAGAUGUAUAGAGGGUGAUGCCUGCCCAAUGGUUGUAUCUAAAAGCGGUUGAUAAAAGUCGACCUCGUAAGGACAAUUGAAUGGCCGCGGUAACACUGACCGUGAUAAUGUAGCGUAAUCAAUAGCCAAUUAAUUGUUGGCCAGUAUGAAUGGCGCCACGAAGGCCCCACUGUCUUAAGGAAAUUCCCAGUGAAAUUGAAUUCGUAGUGAAGAUGCUACGUCCAAUUUGUUAGACGAAAAGACCCCGUUGAGCUUUACUGGGGCACUUACACGGCCCCGGCCUUCCCGUGUCCGGGAACCGGCCGAAUUUAAUUGGGUGGUUUAGACUAUGUGGCAGCCCCCCGCCGGGGCAGAUGAAACCCCACUCCCCCAUGUCAAAGGGGCUAACCCCCUCUUGGGGGGGAGAGUGUAAGUAGGACAGUUUGGUUGGGGCGACCGCCUUUUAAAGAGUAACGAAGGUGCGCUUAAGGUGCGCAAUUAAUGACUGAAGCCUGCCUGCGAGGGGGACACCCCGAGCAGACACCCCUAAGCCCGCCCGAAGUGGCGUGCGGUGGGGUGGGCCAUCAGUGUCCCGUUAAUUUAGAGUGGAAUAGUUAACGAUCAUCGAAUAAAAGUUACCACGGGGAUACCAGCGUAAUAUCGUUCGAGAGUUCACGUACGACGACUGAUGUUUGCGACCUCGAUGUUGAAUUGCGGCAUCCUGGGGUGCAGCCGCUCUCACUUG
rnacentral:rRNA from 1 species